rnacentral:lncRNA from 1 species
AGGUUCAUCUAUACUAUUGGAUACUACUGCAAAUUUGUUACUCACAGUUAUGCGUGACAGAGGGGGAAAGUUGAUACUGUUGAGUUCCGGGCUAUGUGUUUGCUUUCCUUUGUCAUUGCUCUUAUCACUCCUCUGGUUCUGGCCUGAUUUGGAUUGCUGCUGAAGUUCAGUAGGUUCCCUUGUUUGGGGACUGUCUCUGCAUAACAGGUCCUUUAGUUCUCCACUCCUGGACUGGUUUGGGCUUCCACACUUGUGUAGGCUGCUUAGGUAACUGCUUUUGUAGGCUUGCACAAUUGUGUCCAAUUGUUUGACAUU